rnacentral:rRNA from 1 species
ACUCAAAGGAAUAGACGGGGGCCCGCACAAGCGGUGGAGCAUGUUGUUUAAUACGUCACUAACCGUAGAACCUUACCAGGGUUUGACAUGUGAGGCACCGGUAUGAAAGUACCGUUCCUAGCAAUAGGACCUCAACACAGGUGUUGCAUGGCUGUCGUCAGCUCGUGUCGUGAGAUGUUGGGUUAAGUCCCGCAACGAGCGCAACCCUCAUCCUAUGUUGCCAGCGGGUGAAGCCGGGAACUCUUAGGAAACUGCCGGGGUAACUCGGAGGAAGGUGAGGAUGACGUCAAGUCAGCAUGGCCCUUACAUCCUGGGCUACAAACAUGCUACAAUGGACGGUACACAAAGGGAUCCGAAGCCGCGAGGUGGGGGAAAUCUCAAAAAUCCGUUCUCAGUUCGGAUCGCAGGCUGCAACUCGCCUGCGUGAAGUUGGAAUCGCUAGUAACCGCAGGUCAGCGAAACUGCGGUGAAUACGUUCCCGGGCCUUGCACACACCGCCCGU